UUUUGUAUAAUGGGUCAGCGACUUAUAUUCUGUAGCAAGGUUAACCGAAUAGGGGAGCCGAAGGGAAACCGAGUCUUAACUGGGCGUUAAGUUGCAGGGUAUAGACCCGAAACCCGGUGAUCUAGCCAUGGGCAGGUUGAAGGUUGGGUAACACUAACUGGAGGACCGAACCGACUAAUGUUGAAAAAUUAGCGGAUGACUUGUGGCUGGGGGUGAAAGGCCAAUCAAACCGGGAGAUAGCUGGUUCUCCCCGAAAGCUAUUUAGGUAGCGCCUCGUGAAUUCAUCUCCGGGGGUAGAGCACUGUUUCGGCAAGGGGGUCAUCCCGACUUACCAACCCGAUGCAAACUGCGAAUACCGGAGAAUGUUAUCACGGGAGACACACGGCGGGUGCUAACGUCCGUCGUGAAGAGGGAAACAACCCAGACCGCCAGCUAAGGUCCCAAAGUCAUGGUUAAGUGGGAAACGAUGUGGGAAGGCCCAGACAGCCAGGAUGUUGGCUUAGAAGCAGCCAUCAUUUAAAGAAAGCGUA
rnacentral:rRNA from 1 species